UUAACUCAUUGUUAUAGAAACUACUACUUGUCAUUGGAAAACUGAUGGAAGCUGUUGUUGCAAAAGGUGGUGAUUCUGUUCAUUAUGGAAGAGGGUUCAAUUUGGUCCAAGGAGGAACUACUGAUGGGACCAAAUCAAAGAUCUGAGAAGAUCCUCUCUACUCUCCAAUCCAAGAAAAAUUCUUCUUAGAGGAAGGUAUCAAAACCUUUUCCCAAGCAAAUCUUUCAGAAUUUAACUGCGAAGAAUUAUUCCAGACUGAGCUACUCCCUGCAGAAAAAAGAGAUGAUGAACCACUUGAUGAUCGACUCCCUCUCUUUGU